rnacentral:rRNA from 1 species
GAUGAACGCUGGCGGCGCGCCUAACACACGUAAGUCGAACGAUUAAAGCACCUUCGGGUGUGUAUAAAGUGGCGAACGGCUGAGUAACACGUGGGCAACCUGCCCCUUUCAUUGGGAUAGCCACGGGAAACCGUGGAUAAUACCGAAUACUUCGAGACUUCCGCAUGGAAGACUCGAGAAAGCUCCGGCGGAGAGGGAUGGGCCCGCGGCCUGUUAGCUUGUUGGUGGGGUAACGGCCUACCAAGGCAAUGAUGGGUAGCUGGGUUGAGAGACCGACCAGCCAGAUUGGGACUAGUACACGGCCCUGACUCCUACGGGAGGCAGCAGUGUGGAAUCUUGCACAAUGGGCGAAAGCCUGAUGCAGCGACUCCGCGUGCGGGAUGAAGGCCUUCGGGUUGUGAACCGCUUUCAGCAGGGACGAGGCGAAAGUGACGGUACCUGCAGAAGAGGCCCCGGCUAACUACGUG